CCUACGGGCGGCAGCCGUGGGGAAUAUUGGGCAAUGGAGGAAACUCUGACCCAGCAACGCCGCGUGAAUGAUGAAGGUCUUCGGAUUGUAAAGUUCUUUUCUAAGGGAAGAAGAAAGUGACGGUACCUUCGGAAUAAGCCUCGGCUAACUACGUGCCAGCAGCCGCGGUAAUACGUAGGAGGCAAGCGUUAUCCGGAAUGACUGGGCGUAAAGGGUGCGUAGGUGGUUUGACAAGUUGGUAGCGUAACUCCGGGGCUCAACCUCGGCACUACUACCAAAACUGUCGGACUUGAGUGCAGGAGGGGCAAAUGGAAUUCCUAGUGUAGCGGUGGAAUGCGUAGAGAUUAGGAGGAACACCAGUGGCGAAGGCGAUUUGCUGGACUGUAACUGACACUGAGGCACGAAAGCGUGGGGAGCAAACAGGAUUAGAUACCCCAGUAGUC
rnacentral:rRNA from 1 species